rnacentral:lncRNA from 1 species
GUCCGGAGCCGCUUCCGUCCCGCGGAAUGGAGCACACGAACACUCAGCCUCUGCAAGCACCUUUAUUGACUGGGCAGCAACCUCAAUACAUGUCCGGAGCCGCUUCCGUCCCGCGGAAUGGAGCACACGAACACUCAGCCUCUGCAAGCACCUUUAUUGACUGGGCAGCAACCUCAAUACAUGUCCGUCCUCGACGGCUUCUUC